AACGCUAGCUACAGGCUUAACACAUGCAAGUCGAGGGGCAGCAUAAAAGUAGCAAUACUUUGGUGGCGACCGGCGCACGGGUGAGUAACGCGUAUGCAACCUACCUAUCAGAGGGGAAUAACCCGGCGAAAGUCGGACUAAUACCGCAUAAAACAGGGACACCGCAUGGUGAUAUUUGUUAAAGGAAUUCGCUGAUAGAUGGGCAUGCGUUCCAUUAGGUAGUUGGUGAGGUAACGGCCCACCAAGGCAACGAUCAGUAGGGGUUCUGAGAGGAAGGUCCCCCACAUUGGAACUGAGACACGGUCCAAACUCCUACGGGAGGCAGCAGUGAGGAAUAUUGGUCAAUGGGCGAGAGCCUGAACCAGCCAAGUAGCGUGCAGGAUGACGGCCCUAUGGGUUGUAAACUGCUUUUAUACAGGAAUAAAGUUAGCCACGUGUGGUUAUUUGUAGGUACUGUAUGAAUAAGGACCGGCUAAUUCCGUGCCAGCAGCCGCGGUAAUACGGAAGGUCCAGGCGUUAUCCGGAUUUAUUGGGUUUAAAGGGAGCGUAGGCCGUCUGUUAAGCGUGUUGUGAAAUGUAGAUGCUCAACAUCUGAAUUGCAGCGCGAACUGGCAGACUUGAGUGUGCGCAACGUAGGCGGAAUUCGUGGUGUAGCGGUGAAAUGCUUAGAUAUCACGAAGAACUCCGAUUG
rnacentral:rRNA from 1 species